CGGCAGGCUUAACACAUGCAAGUCGAGCGGUAACAUUUCUAGCUUGCUAGAAGAUGACGAGCGGCGGACGGGUGAGUAAUACUUAGGAAUCUACCUAGUAGUGGGGGAUAGCACGGGGAAACUCGUAUUAAUACCGCAUACGACCUACGGGAGAAAGGGGGCAGUUUACUGCUCUCGCUAUUAGAUGAGCCUAAGUCGGAUUAGCUAGAUGGUGGGGUAAAGGCCUACCAUGGCGACGAUCUGUAGCUGGUCUGAGAGGAUGAUCAGCCACACCGGGACUGAGACACGGCCCGGACUCCUACGGGAGGCAGCAGUGGGGAAUAUUGGACAAUGGGGGAAACCCUGAUCCAGCCAUGCCGCGUGUGUGAAGAAGGCCUUUUGGUUGUAAAGCACUUUAAGCAGUGAAGAAGACUCUUUGGUUAAUACCCACAGACGAUGACAUUAGCUGCAGAAUAAGCACCGGCUAACUCUGUGCCAGCAGCCGCGGUAAUACAGAGGGUGCAAGCGUUAAUCGGAAUUACUGGGCGUAAAGGGAGCGUAGGUGGCUCAAUAAGUCAGAUGUGAAAUCCCCGGGCUCAACCUGGGAACUGCAUCUGAUACUGUUGAGCUAGAGUAGGUGAGAGGGAGGUAGAAUUUCAGGUGUAGCGGUGAAAUGCGUAGAGAUCUGAAGGAAUACCGAUGGCGAAGGCAGCCUCCUGGCAUCAUACUGACACUGAGGCUCGAAAGCGUGGGUAGCAAACAGGAUUAGAUACCCUGGUAGUCCACGCCGUAAACGAUGUCUACUAGUCGUUGGGUCCCUUGAGGACUUAGUGACGCAGCUAACGCAAUAAGUAGACC
rnacentral:rRNA from 1 species